rnacentral:rRNA from 1 species
CAAUCACUUGUCCUUUAAAUGAGGACCUGUAUGAAUGGCAUAACGAGGGCUUAACUGUCUCCCCUAUCCAGUCAAUGAAAUUGAUCUCCCCGUGCAGAAGCGGGGAUAACCACAUAAGACGAGAAGACCCUGUGGAGCUUUAGACACCCAAACGACCCAAUUAGAACAAGCUUACGCACAAGUAGGAUGACCCCAAUGGUUGAUACCGUUUAAAUGUCUUUGGUUGGGGCGACCGUGGGGAAAAGAAAAACCCCCAUGAGGACCGGGGACCUCCCCCAUAGCCGAGAGCCUACCACUCAAAGCAUCAGAACCUCUGACCCUAAUGAUCCGGCCUGUCGGCCGAUCAACGAACCGAGUUACCCCAGGGAUAACAGCGCAAUCCCCUCCCAGAGCCCA